GUACUGCGGAGACAUUAC
rnacentral:rRNA from 1 species